UUUAAGAGCUAAUUACUUGCCAGUCAAACAUUUCUUCAUGCUUGGCUUGGCCAGGUGGAGCAAGAGAGGACUGGGUAACCUUCUCUCUCCCUGUCACUUCCAGCUACGAGUCAGUCACCAAAAUCCUCAUGGGAUGUUUCACCAAACCCACUGGAGGAGUCACCAACAGGGCUAAUCAAAGUUUCUCUACUGGCCUGACUAAGCCAAUGGGCCCAAAUGGGGCCCUGGAUGGUUCAUCACUAGAAAGGACAAGCUGCAGUUCGUGACAAAGGGCUACCAGGACUGAUAAAAUCACCCAUUAGCCACCGUGGGACCCAUAAAGCCACCGUGACCCCAUGGACGCAGUUGUGUUGGCCCAGCAGGUGUCAUGCCCAGCCUUGGGCUGGUUCAGGCCACCCAGGGCUCCAAGAUGAGCGGUGCUUGGUAGCACAGCUGUGUAAUUUCCCAUCCUGGACGAGAGCUCAGGAAUACCAACAGCCCAGCCUUGGUGCCUCUUGACAUAGCCUCCUCACUCACCUGGCUUCACCAACAACCCCAGAGCAGGACGUUUUGGUGUUAGCAUCCCUACCCAAUCUCAAUGGGGCAGCUAGGGUUCAUCAGAGACCCUCACCAUCCAGUGGCUCAGCUCUUGCAGACACAAAGCGUUACUAUCACCUCCAGACCCACCUCAGACCCCACCGUGCCAUCAUGACGUCCCCAUGAGGUCCCAUCAGCCCCCACCGUACCAUCAUGAUGUCCCCCAAGCGCUUGGCUUCCAGCCCCGAAAGGAAGAGCACCCUGCCAAGAAUUUCUAUGGGCUGUGUCCGACAGAGUGAGCCGACACCUGAUUUGCCCUUACUUACAGCAGUGGGAACAAGCCCUGGGGCUAACGUGAAAGGAUGAU